GGCCACUCGGGAUGGGUCCCUGGACCCCGCUGGCAGAAUGGAAUUUUCGGAGCUGAUCCUGGUCGGAACAGAAGCUCCUCUGGGGGUCCGGAGGCGCCCCAGCUGUGCUGCACACUAAUUGUCACUGGCUCCCACCCGUGUUGCCAGGGCCCCAGUCAACUCAGGUCCUGUGGCUGCUGCUGCUGCGUAGGGUCAACUCCAUCGAGAAGCCGUGAGAGAUGUGACUGGGGCGUCCCUGGAGUGAGGGAGCAAGCGACUCCAGCGAGGAGAGGGGGAAGGGACAGAGCAGUUGGCGCCCUCCUGCCUGACGUCCAGUCGUGGAACUCUUCCGGUCCCCUGAUGGGGCCCAGGACACUGAGCUCUCGCCCACCUGUCCAUCCCCAGCGUCUCGGGCGCCUUAGGCAACCAUCAAACUGCACUGUAAAAACCCCAGGUGCUUAGGGGCCGAGGAUUUAGUUCAGUGGUUUCGCCGCCUGCUGCGCAAUCGCAAGGACCCCAGUUCGAUCCCCGGUACCAAAAACCAAACCAAAACAAAAAAAGACCCCAGGUGCUGCAGCUGAAUAUAGAGGGCGAGAAAGCGACGCUGGACAUCGCUGGCACCAUCAAGGGGGCAGCCCUUCCGGGAGAGCUUCAUGUGCCUGAUGGAGGCUUGUGGGGAUCUGGAACAGAGCACAGACCACGGGCUUAGUUGGCUAGAGGGGUGCUGCUGGCUGACACAUGUGAAGGAAUCACUGAGCACUGCCUGCCUGGCAGCCCAGGCCACAGAGAGGUAAGGCUCUUACUCAGAGAGAAUCGG
rnacentral:lncRNA from 1 species